rnacentral:rRNA from 1 species
CUUAGAUAUUUAAUACACAAAAAUAUCCGCCAGAGAACUACGAGCAAAAUGCUUAAAACUCUAAGGACUUGGCGGUACUCAAACCCCCCUAGAGGAGCCUGUUCUAUAAUCGAUAAUCCACGAUUUACCUCACCAUCCCUUGCCAAUUCCGCCUAUAUACCACCGUCACCAGCUUACCCUAUGAGGGUAUAAAAGUAGGCAAAAUAACUAAUUAGUUAACAAGUCAGGUCAAGGUGUAGCUAACUGAGAUGGAAGAAAUGGGCUACAUUUUCUACACUAGAAAUUAAUUUACGGAAAGGAACUAUGAAAUAAGUCCAACAAGUAGGAUUUAGCAGUAAACCGGGAUCAAAAUGCCCAAUUU